GGGCGUGUAACUCAGUGGUAGAGUGCUCGCUUUGCAUUGCAUAUUAAAAUUGCGAGAAGCCCAGGGUUCGACUCCCUGCUCGUCCA